AAAGCCCCCCACUCUACUUGGUUUCAGGUCACAGCUCUCCCGUGUAUUGUCCUCUUUCAUCAAAUGGCAUUUUCCCCGUAUGCUGGUGUAUAUUUCAAAACCUGUGGCAGUCGGCUACGGACAAUUGAGAGUGGAGGCUCUUGAGAAGGUGCAUGGGGGUGUUUUCUCUAGUGCAAAGGACUGAUUGUACCAGGAGUCAUGGUGAGGGAGAAAAGCCGAGGCAAACCAGUGAAAUGCAAAUUCUGGUCCUGAACGUGAAGUAUCUCGUCUCUCCACUGGCAUUUGAGCUCAGCUAGGUCGAGGGCAGGAACCUACUGCCACCAUGGUCUGGCCCACAUGCUGCCAGUCCUGGCCCCCGUAGCCAUUGUGUUUCAGCUGCGUAGAUGAGGAAGGUGUGAGGAGAGCCCCACAGGACCUGAGUAUUUUACUGUAUUGUACUUUUUAUUUGUUUUUUAUUGCAUUGUAUGGUAUUGUGUUUUCGGUUUUUCACCCAGAUCUGAGUGUUCCUUACUGGUGGCUGUUCUUCUUUUCCCCAGUGACUUUUUCCUGGGUCUCAUGUGCAGGAGACCUACCGGUAUCUACUGGCUGAGUGUGCAGGUUGUCUCCCAUCUCAGAAAUGUUGCCAGGACUGCGUCCAAGGCCGCCCCUCCUCAGCUAGUGCCUUCACACCCAGGAAUGCACCUAACUCUCCCCUGGCACAACUGGCAGGACCGAGAAGAGCAACUGCUACAUCUGGAUGUUAUGAAGUUCUCCAGGGCUUGAUAUAUUAUUUUCCCCCCAUACUAACAUGUGCUCAACAGGACGCAGUCCCAAUUAUUUUUGACAGUGGUGCUGUCUUCCCUUCCGUUUCCAUGAUGGGGAAAGUUAAACUAAGAGCCAACUUCUUAUAAGCCAGGUUUGGCCAUAAAGCAGGGGAAGAUCAUGGGACAUAGGUCCUAGGCAGACAGCACUUGCCCAAGAUUUAUCACAGAGCAUUAUUUCCCAUGCUGGCUUUGAGAAUGGCAGAUUGGUUUCCUUAGUAUCCCGCACGCUGGGAGAGCAGAACCCUUUGUGUACAUCGAUUCCCAGGAGGCAAACUCUGGGAUUUCCCUUCCCAACCUGAGGAAAACCCACAAAGUUGCUUUACAGUGUGUCUCUUCACUGUGUGACUCGAACUGUUGUCAUUAUGCCCACCCACAUCUCCCUCUCUGCCUCUUCUGCCUUUCAGUACGGUCCAUAAAUAAGCACUGAGAAGUAUACAGCCAAAUACGGAGGCAGAUGAGGGCUGGUGGUAGGGAAAAGAACAGUUUAUGAAUGAACGGCACCAUGAGUUAAAAAAAUCCAGCAUGUCCUAUUCAUACAUCAUACUCAUGUACUACAAUUUCACUUGCUGCUUCACUAUGCUUUGUUGGGGGGUUGAUGGUCUCUCUCUCAUGCAGGGUUGGGUUGCCUCCUUGGCAGCCCAAGCAGUAACUCAGGCCUAUACUCCCCAUUUACGUUGCAUGAUUCCCCCCGAGUGCUUUACAGGCUCUACAGCCACACAUGAAAUGCCGCCACCUCUGGACAGAGAGUACAAACCAAAACCAGCAAAUAGCACAACAUCAGGGUGGGCAGCAAUUCUGGCUUAUUUUUAGGGCAAAGAUGUCACAGGGUUUGUAUAUACCAGCAGUAUGCAGAGAAAUCUGGUAUCUCAAAUCAAAACAAACAUGCACACGCUAUAAUAGAAAGUGCUGAUUUAACCACCCCAAGAGAGACUUUUAUAUGGGUUUGAUUUUUGAGUUAGGGUGGACAAGCUGAUGCUAGAGCUUUCCUUUUCCUGAGAAUCAAAAGAGGACUUCAGGCUCUCCAGUGCCCAUGUGGCACCUUUCUUGGGUUGCAUGGUCGUCCUAAGCAGCGAUCGCAGUAGUUAAAUGUCUUGUGAUACUUGUACAGUCUUGGAUCCCACGGAUGUUCCUCCAAGCUUGGUCCAGCCCUGAGUACUUCAGGGCUAGCGUCGGGCUGUCCUGAGCACACCGCUUCAGCACGGGGCAGGCCCUCCCCUCCCGGGUGAGCAACGCGAAGCGUCUCAUCACGCAGGCAGGCUAUCGGCGGCAGGAACCAGCUCACAGCCAAAAUGAAUCAUCGGGCUGAUCCGACACGUGGCAUGUCCAGGCUCCCUGUGCUGAAGUGGCACUAAUUAUUCCCUCAGUGUUAUGAAACAAGGACAAGAAAAGCAAAUGCAGCGGUAAACAGCAAGAGAGAAAGGGAGGUUAAUUGGAAGCAAGAAAGGUGGAAAAUACCAGUGCCAAGGCUGGGAUGAGAAAACCCGGCGAUCACCAUGGAUGCCGUUAGUGAGGAAGCCGGGAAGGAGCUCGCAUGCCCCUUCGGGUCCCCACUGAAGAAAGCACUGAAGGGUGUGUUCAGAAUGGUGCAGGUACCUACACACGUCCUUUGCUGGAGAAGGUGUCCCUGAACAUCGCACCGCUGCUGUCUGCGCUCACGUGCCUGGCGCCAUCCCCCUCUGACAGCGGGACGCCUGUGCACGCACCUGUUCUCUUCGUAUGUAAAAAAAAGCCUUUUGCAGGAAUCCAAAAGGGGCCACAGGGCUGGGCUCUCCCCCCUCUUCCUGCAGGCUUUUUCUUUUUUUUUCUUUUUCUUUCUUUCUUUUUCAUAUUGUACGGUAACUACAAUUAAACCUUUCUUGGCACGGCA